UGGCCUUUUCGGGCCCACUUUGAUGAUCCAAACUCAUUUCACGUCAAAAUUAAUUUAAUGAGAUACCGGUUCAUAUGAUUUCAAAACAAAUUAAUUAUCUCGGCAUAAAUGAAUUAAAUGGGUUCUGAUUCAGUAUUACAAUAACUAGUUUACAAAAUAAAUACGUUCUGUAUUCAUAUCAAAUAGUAUGUGAUCGACGUGAUUUGUGUUUGUUAUGAGCUCUAGAAAUUGGUCUAUUUCGAUGGACGGGAAAUGAUCGAUGUCCUAAAAAAAUAUAGGUACAUGUUUGUAAAGAUAGAUAUGCCUCUGUUUGGUCUCCUCUUUGAUUGAUUUGUCAGAAAUCUCUUGUUUCUUUAGGCAAGCAAGAGAGGCCUGCUCAG